UACGGAGGGUGCAAGCGUUAUCCGGAUUCACUGGGUUUAAAGGGUGCGUAGGCGGGCAGGUAAGUCAGUGGUGAAAUCUCCGGGCUUAACCCGGAAACUGCCGUUGAUACUAUCUGUCUUGAAUAUCGUGGAGGUAAGCGGAAUAUGUCAUGUAGCGGUGAAAUGCUUAGAUAUGACAUAGAACACCGAUUGCGAAGGCAGCUUACUACACGAUCAUUGACGCUGCGGCACGAAAGCGUGGGGAGCAAACAGG
rnacentral:rRNA from 1 species